GGACGAUAACGGCGUCGAGCGGCGGACGGGUGAGUAAUGCCUAGGAAAUUGCCCUGAUGUGGGGGAUAACCAUUGGAAACGAUGGCUAAUACCGCAUAAUGCCUACGGGCCAAAGAGGGGGACCUUCGGGCCUCUCGCGUCAGGAUAUGCCUAGGUGGGAUUAGCUAGUUGGUGAGGUAAUGGCUCACCAAGGCGACGAUCCCUAGCUGGUCUGAGAGGAUGAUCAGCCACACUGGAACUGAGACACGGUCCAGACUCCUACGGGAGGCAGCAGUGGGGAAUAUUGCACAAUGGGCGCAAGCCUGAUGCAGCCAUGCCGCGUGUGUGAAGAAGGCC
rnacentral:rRNA from 1 species